GGGCGCUUCCUGCUUUGUCACUGGGAAACUGUCUUUAACUUUCACAUUCUACCAAAAGCUUUGAUGUUGGAAAUCCUACCGAUAAGAAUGAAACCUUCUGGAGGAUCCCCACUAGUUUGACCCAGAGAAGCAGCUUGAUUUCCGAACUAGAUGCUAAACUUCAGCAGGACCUACAGGACUCGGGUGUCCCCCGUCCCGGCAGGUGGCAGAGCUAGGGAGCCACGCCACACCCCGCAAGCACAUUCGGAGCCCUGGAGCAUUUCCCCGACCUUCCGCUGGCCAGGCCCAGAGAUGGAGAAAACCAGGAGUGAAAUAGAACAGGAAGGACCGUCAAGUAGAAGCAACUGGGACGCAGAGUCGGGGAGUGAUUGGAGGGCCCGCGUUCCACCCGCGCGGUCCUCACCGGGUGCGGAAAAAUCGAUUCCACGGAUCAGGUUGACAGCAGGUGUUCCCAGACGACCGGUUCUAGUAGGCGACCUUAGCUCACCCGCUCCACACAUGGGCCGGCCUUUCCAGACCGGGGCGGUCGCAUCGCCAGGCCGUCCAUCCUUGGCUCUCUGUGAUUCCCUACCACUGCGAGGCACAGGAGAGGUCAAUUCCUUUCCAGACGCGAGAAAACCUGAACGUUUUUGUUUGUCAGAUUGAGUCUGUAGGGAGUGAACCACCAAUUCGGAGAAAGUCUUCGGGGCUGGAAGUUCCGCGAACCCUCUGAAAGUCAAUGUAAAGUACAUGUGCGGGAAUGUGCGUUUUCCUCUCACCUGGGGCUCAAGACUUCCGUCCCCCUCCCCCCCCCCUAAAGAUUAUGAACCAUCACACCACAGCACAGGGGAAAGUGCAAGCACGUUUCCUUCAUCAGAGUCUAUUAUUUUGUAUAACUUAGAAUGGCUUUAAGACACGACAGUGGGAUACAGGCAGGCAUUCUGUUCCAGAUCUAACAUACACAUUCACACAAUACACAAUAUCAGGUGUCACAUCGAAUCGCGCCUUUGUGCCCCGGAGAAGCAUACCCACAAUAAGCUUUUCCAUUUCUUCUUCACCCUUCUGUUGGGCGUUAGUUCAGGCCCAGGGCUAGUGAAUUACAAAAGACAAAUCAUUACUACUCUAAAGAGAAAAAAGAGAACCCAUUUUCCAAUGGUACAGGUUGCAGGGGCAGCGGAAGGAAUGGGCAAACCAGACAGAAACUGAAGGUUAAUUAUGAAGGGGGAUAUUCCCAGAGCAGAGUGGCGCAGCGGGAGCGUGCUGGGCCCAUAACCCAGAGGUCGAUGGAUCGAAACCAUCCUCUGCUAAGUACAGUCCUUUUCGUCCCAAAGCACGAAAAGCUCAGCGAGCUCAGCGAGAGGGAAAGAAGAGAUUGUUAAUUCUUGUUUCAAAUCUAGUGCGAUGUUUGACUCUUUAAAUUAUAUGCAUGUAGAAAGGAGGACAGAAAUAAAAACCUAACAAAAUUU